CCCUUAGAUGUCCUGGGCCGCACGCGCGUUACACUGAUGCAUUCAACGAGCUUAUAACCUUGGCCGAGAGGCCUGGGCAAUCUUGUUAACGUGCAUCGUGAUAGGGAUAGAUUAUUGAAAUUAUUAAUCUUGAACGAGGAAUUCCUAGUAAACGCAGAUCAUCAAUCUGCAUUGAUUACGUCCCUGCCCUUUGUACACACCGCCCGUCGCACCUACCGAUUGAAUGGUCCGGUGAAGCCUCGGGAUUGUGGUUCUUGCCGCUUUAUUGUGGCGUGACCGCGAGAACUUGUCUAAACCUUAUCAUCUAGAGGAAGGUGAAGUCGUAACA
rnacentral:rRNA from 1 species